rnacentral:rRNA from 1 species
CCUUGCGCUACUAUACAUGCAGUCGAGCGAAUGGAUUAAGAGCUUGCUCUUAUGAAGUUAGCGGCGGACGGGUGAGUAACACGUGGGUAACCUGCCCAUAAGACUGGGAUAACUCCGGGAAACCGGGGCUAAUACCGGAUAACAUUUUGAACCGCAUGGUUCGAAAUUGAAAGGCGGCUUCGGCUGUCACUUAUGGAUGGACCCGCGUCGCAUUAGCUAGUUGGUGAGGUAACGGCUCACCAAGGCAACGAUGCGUAGCCGACCUGAGAGGGUGAUCGGCCACACUGGGACUGAGACACGGCCCAGACUCCUACGGGAGGCAGCAGUAGGGAAUCUUCCGCAAUGGACGAAAGUCUGACGGAGCAACGCCGCGUGAGUGAUGAAGGCUUUCGGGUCGUAAAACUCUGUUGUUAGGGAAGAACAAGUGCUAGUUGAAUAAGCUGGCACCUUGACGGUACCUAACCAGAAAGCCACGGCUAACUACGUGCCAGCAGCCGCGGUAAUACGUAGGUGGCAAGCGUUAUCCGGAAUUAUUGGGCGUAAAGCGCGCGCAGGUGGUUUCUUAAGUCUGAUGUGAAAGCCCACGGCUCAACCGUGGAGGGUCAUUGGAAACUGGGAGACUUGAGUGCAGAAGAGGAAAGUGGAAUUCCAUGUGUAGCGGUGAAAUGCGUAGAGAUAUGGAGGAACACCAGUGGCGAAGGCGACUUUCUGGUCUGUAACUGACACUGAGGCGCGAAAGCGUGGGGAGCAAACAGGAUUAGC